CCCUCUCUUAUCUCUCCCUCUCUCUCUCUCUCUCUCUCUCUCUCUCAUCCCCCCUUAAAGAUAGGCGACACUCUUGGGGGAUAAAACUACAGAGAAACACAAAAGAGACGCGUUUACACACGCUCUCUCUCUCUCUUUCUCAGAUGAUGAUGAUGAUGAAGAUAGAUGGGGAAGCCUUUUCUUUUGAGGGGAAUGUUGUCUGGCUCGAGGACACUUUUAUUUGAUCCUAAGAAAAAAAAAAUCAAAUCCCAUCAUCAUGUUUUAGUGUCGUCGGACCAGGCUUCAUUCCCCCCAAUUUUUAUGCUUCCAUUUACCUACCAAGCCUUUAAUUAAUCAUGGGCUACUUUCAAAGAAAGGAACACUCAGAUUUUGAGAACAGAAGCAUUCCAAAUGAUAAGCUGACUCCCUUCUUCACUGGAUUCUGGAAGUAAAAGGGUAAGUAUGAAAAGCCAUUCAAUUGGGUUUGGCUUGAAAUGAACCUGGAGCAUUGUGCAGGUUAAUAGACACAUGCCAGUUGAAGAAUAGUGUAAACUUUUUCCCCUAUAUUUGAGCUUGUGUCGUACAAUAAUGCGAACAUCAAUUAUCACAUUCAGUUGUGAAAUCAGUUCUGGAUUUAGUGUUUGUAAUUGUACCUUCUUUCUUAUUAGUUACUUUCCCUUUAAUCUUGCUUGUCUCACAGGAGCACAGAUGGGGAAGAGAAGCUCUCAGAUAAAUACAAAGACAAAAUAGUUGAUUAGAAAAGAAUGGCGAAUGAGGUAGGUCCUAGGUCUCUAGGGCCAUAGGGAACACGUAUGACCACUUCUCUUUCUCACACGCACUUAUCUUCUACCUUUGACAUAACCUACACAUCUCUUUCUGUCUCUCAAAACUACUGUGCUAGGCUGCUAGCUGCGGCCUUCAAUGACUUUAUUAUUAUUUUCAAUCUUGUGCAUUUUGAUUUUCUAAACAAUACGGUUCAUAUAUCAAAAUUUAACUGAAGUGAAUGUGUAAAUUUUUCAUUAAUUUUGAUGCUAUUUUUAAUAUGUACAUUGUCAUGACUCUUAAGUGAAUAAAUCAAUAUCUCAAGUAUUUAUUACUUGAUAUGGGAUGGGUAAUGGUAAAUCCUUUAUUGUCACGUUUCAUGGUCCUUGAAAAGGGAUUGUAUGAAACUUUGAAUGCUGUCUCUUAAAGAACUUCCUUUUGGGAAAUUGCAUCUUUUUGACAUUUGCAAACAUAAAGUCGAAAGCCAUUGCUGCUUACUUUUUUACUCAAUAGUCAUAAUCUUUUUGAGAGUCGCUUUACAAUGAUUUCCAAGGAGAGAGAAAGAGAGA